UCAGUUUCUCGACCCCUGUGUGGUGUGGAUGCUCUUAUCAUUCUUUUACUUUAUAGACGGAAGGACUCCCAGGCAAGGUGAGCCUCUCGCUGAGGGCCAUGAGGACAGCAGGUGCUCCAUAGUGAUGAUGACUGAGAACCAGAUUCAGUGUGGUCCACAGGGGGCUCCCACCGCAACCUCCUUAAUUCUUGACACUCUCCUGCCUCGUGGCCAUGUUUGCUCUGCUCCCUGACUGAAUGGCAAUGGCGCCCUUGUCAGAUGUCCUCACACCCCCUGCUCACCAAAAGCUCAGGGACAUCCCGGCCCGCAUUGUUCAAGCCAGGAAACCACCCACCCUCCAUAGCUAGGGGGGUGGCUUCUAAGAAGUUGUUUCUUCCCAGGGAGGCAGAGGCUCAGGAGCAGGCAAUGCUGUAUCAAGAGUCUAUAUGACAUUGAUUGGUCUGGAACUCAUGAGUGGAGGCAGUGCGACCAGCUUCCUCAAGUUCCUUCCACCACGCCUCUGCACCAUGAUGGACAGACUGACUGUACCCGGGAACUAUGAGGCAAAAUAAACCCUUUCUUCCGUAGACUGUUCUUGCUGGGGAUUCUGCACAGCCAGGAGUAACUAAUACACCCUAACACUACCAGGUCCAAAAUUAGAAGCCAUUCUUCCGGUCCAGUGGAACCCUGAACCUGUUAACCAUCCCCCCCGACCCCCGCCCCCGUCCCGUAUCUGGUAAGCACUGCUCUAUUUUCUCCUCCCAUGAUGAUGGCCACUUCUUCAACUUCCCCGUGGAAGUGAGAGCAUGUGGUUUCUGUCUCUGUUUGGCUCACUCCACAGAGUGACGUGACCUCCAGGCUUAGCCAUGCUGCUGAGGAGGGCAGAGGCUCCUUCUCUCCAUCGUGACUAGUUCCCCGUGGCACACAGGUACCACUGUCUCUCCCCAGCCAUCAGCACUGGACUGAUGCAAUGAGGUUGGUUCCGUGGGCUAGCUACAGUGAAUAGAGGCUCAGGGGAAGGGGCAGCCUUCUCCAGCACACUAUUUCCCCUCCUGUGGGCAUGUGCACCUAGUGAUGGGCUGGCUACACCACGAAGUAGGGCCUUUCUGGUUUCCGUUCCAUGCUACUUCUGGGAUAUUGGCACAAACCGACAGCCCCACUGACAACGUCUGUCUGUCUGGUUUUUUUUUUUUUUUGGUUUGGUUUUUCGAGACAGGGUUUCUCUGUAUAGACCUGGCUGUCCUGGAACUCACUUUGUAGACCAGACUGGCCUCGAACUCAGAAAUCCACCUGUCCCUGCCUCCCAAGUGCUGGGAUUAAAGGCGUGCACCACCAUGCCUGGCUUGUCUGUCUGUUUUCUUCUGCAUCCCUGCCCAGCGCACUUCUUCUUUUUUUUUUUAAAGAUUUAUUUAUUUAUUAUAUGUAAGUACACUGUAGCUGUCUUCAGACACACCAGAAGAGGCCGUCAGAUCUCAUUACGGGUGGUUGUGAGCCACCAUGUGGUUGCUGGGAUUUGAACUCAGAACCUUUGGAAGAGCAGUCAGUGU